CCUACGGGAGGCAGCAGUGAGGAAUAUUGGUCAAUGGACGCAAGCCUGAACCAGCCAUGCCGCGUGCAGGAUGACGGCUCUAUGAGUUGUAAACUGCUUUUGUACGAGGGUAAACCCCGAUACGUGUAUCGGGUUGAAAGUACCGUACGAAUAAGGAUCGGCUAACUCCGUGCCAGCAGCCGCGGUAAUACGGAGGAUCCGAGCGUUAUCCGGAUUUAUUGGGUUUAAAGGGUGCGUAGGCGGUUUGAUAAGUGAGCGGUGAAAUGUCGGGGCUCAACCCCGGAACUGCAUCUAAUACUGGUGGACUAGAGAAUAGUGGAGGUAGGCGGAAUGUAUGGUGUAGCGGUGAAAUGCUUAGAGAUGAUACAGAACACCGAUUGCGAAGGCAGCUUGCUGAACUGUAACUGACGUUGAGGCACGAAAGCGUGGGUAGCAAACAGGAUUAGAUACCCGAGUAGUC
rnacentral:rRNA from 1 species